CUGGCUCUGAACUCAAUCUGACUGAUCAUUAGUUUUGUUUUGUUGUUUCAUCUCAUACCGAUCGUUCCUCAUCCUUUCUUUUUUCGAUCUUUCUUCAUCCUUCGUCCUCAUCUGAAAGCCAAGGGUUGGUGGUUCUUCAACCUGAGGAAGGUCUUUCUUUCAUUUUCGAUCUUCCAUCAUCUAUUCAUGGAUAGAAAAAUCAACUCUUUUUUGUUUCUUCUUCUUCUCCCUGGGGCUUUCCUUCAUGCUGGGGUGACCCAAGGACUGGCCCUAAUGAGAACAGUCGGAUGGAGGCCGAUGAUUGGGAGGACUUCAUCCGACUGA
rnacentral:lncRNA from 1 species